UACGUAGGUGGCAAGCGUUAUCCGGAAUGAUUGGGCGUAAAGGGUGCGCAGGCGGCGCUGUAAGUCUGAAGUGAAAGGUACCGGCUUAACUGGUACAGGCUUUGGAAACUGCAGUGCUCGAGGACAGGAGAGGGCGGCGGAACUCCAUGUGUAGCGGUAAAAUGCGUAGAUAUAUGGAAGAACACCAGUGGCGAAGGCGGCCGCCUGGACUGUAACUGACGCUGAGGCACGAAAGCGUGGGGAGCAAA
rnacentral:rRNA from 1 species